UGGGGAAUAUUGGACAAUGGGGGAAACCCUGAUCCAGCGACGCCGCGUGGGUGAAGAAGGCCUGCGGGUUGUAAAGCCCUUUCAGUGGGGAAGAAAAGCUUCGACCUAAUACGUCGGAGUGUUGACGUAACCCAUAGAAGAAGCACCGGCUAACUCUGUGCCAGCAGCCGCGGUAAUACAGAGGGUGCGAGCGUUAAUCGGAAUUACUGGGCGUAAAGCGCACGUAGGCGGCUUUGCAAGUCGGAUGUGAAAUCCCCGGGCUUAACCUGGGAACUGCAUUCGAGACUGCAUUGCUUGAGUAUGGGAGAGGGAGGCGGAAUUUCAGGUGUAGCGGUGAAAUGCGUAGAUAUCUGAAGGAACAUCAGUGGCGAAAGCGGCCUCCUGGACCAAUACUGACGCUCAUGUGCGAAAGCGUGGGGAGCAAACAGG
rnacentral:rRNA from 1 species